AGUUGAGAGAGAGAGAGAGAGAGUGAGAUAUUCUUGUAUUCAGUUGUUGAUCGUCUCUAAUAUAUCUCGAAUGGAUUUAUUCAACAAUUCAAACUACUUGUCUUCUAGAAUUGAUUACAAGUUUUAUUACCUACUAAUUUUCUCUGCUCCUCAAGCCACAACACUAAAUGGUAAAUUACUUACAUAUUUUUAUAUUUUAAAUUUGAAUGUAUAUAUUCUUUUAAAUAUAAGCUUCGUA
rnacentral:misc_RNA from 1 species